UACGUAGGGGGCAAGCGUUGUCCGGAAUUAUUGGGCGUAAAGAGCGUGUAGGCGGUCCGGUAAGUCAGCUGUGAAAGUCAAGGGCUCAACCCUUGAAAGCCGGUUGAUACUGUCGGGCUAGAGUCCGGAAGAGGCGAGUGGAAUUCCCGGUGUAGCGGUGAAAUGCGCAGAUAUCGGGAGGAACACCGAUGGCGAAGGCAGCUCGCUGGGACGGUACUGACGCUGAGACGCGAAAGCGUGGGGAGCAAACAGG
rnacentral:rRNA from 1 species